UUCAUUCUAUCUCUUCCCCUCAUGAUUUUAUACACCUCUAUGAGAUCAAACUUUAGCCUCCUGUGCACCAAGGAAUAAAGUGCUAGUCGACCCAACCUCUCCCUAUAGCUCAGGUCCUUGAGCCUCAGCAACAUCUUGUAGAACUGUAACAUAAUGUCCCAGCGUCUGUACUCAAUUCCCUAACUGAUGAAGGCUAGUGUGCCAAAAGCAUAUGACACUGCUUUCAGGAAACUAUCUGCCUGUUAUCCUAGAUCCCUCUCCUCUACAAAGCUCCCCAGGGCCCACCAUUCAUUGUGAACGUACUGCCAUUGUUUGACUUUCUAAAACGCAGCACCUUGUACUUAUCUGUGUUAAACUCCGUUAGCAAUUCCUCCGCCUACUUGCUCAGCUGAUCAAGAUCCAUCUUCACUUCUAUGGCACCACCUAUUUUAGUGUCAUCUGCAAACUUACUAAUCAUGCCCCGUAUAUUCUCAUCCAAAUCAUUUAUAUAAACCACAAACAUGCCCAGCACCAAACCCCGGCGCACACACCCAGUCACAGGUCUUCAGAGUCCAAAAAUAAAUCUUCCAACACAACCACCCAUGAACACAAUUCUGUAUUGGGUUAGCUAGCUCUCCCUGGAUCCCAUGUGAUUUAACCAUCCAAUGCAGGCAACCAGGCAGAACCUUAUCAAAGGCCCUGCUGAAGUUCAUAUAGAAAACAUCUACAACUUUGCUCUUGUCAAACAUCUUGGUUAGUUCUUAAAAAAUUCAUAAGACAGGAUCUCCCAUGUAUAAAAGCAUGCUGACUAUCCUUAAUCAACCCAUGAAAAUUCAUACAUAUAUAUCUUAUACCUCAGAAUCCUCUCCAGUAAUUUACUGACCAAAGAUGUUAGACUCACUGGUCUGUAGUUCCCAGGCUUUUCCUUGCAACCCUUCUUAAAUAGAGGCACAUUAGCCACCCUUGUCAUCCAGCACCUCACCCGUAUCUAACCCGUGCUUUGGUUUUAUUUCCAGCAUUCACAUUCUAUGGAGAGUAUCUUCUAGCACAGUGACAUAGCUGUUGGUGCUGUUAUUGAACAGCUUCAGCAACCUGGGUUCAAUUCAGACCUUGAGUAGAAUUGACACAUCUCCCUGUGUUCACAUGGGUUUUCUCCUUGUGCUCCAGUUUCCUGCCAUACUAUAGACAUGCUAGUAGGUGAGAAGAGGCUACUUUAAGUUACCCUUUAUUGCAGGUCUGUGGCAUGAGAAUUACAUAGAAAAUAGAAAAUAGGUGCAGGAGGAGGCCAUUCGGCCCUUCGAGCCAGCACCGCUGGACUGGAUUGGACUGGAGUCGAUGAAGAGAUAAUGGGUUACAUGGAAAUAAGUGGGGGAAUGAUACUAAUAGGAUUGCUCUGAACGUCACCAUAGAUUUAUUGGGCUGAAUGGCCUCCUUCAAUGAUGUAAGGAAAUCUCCGAAUAGGUUGCACAUAUAUUCACAUUCUAACUUAAACCAUGUUUAUUUUAAGUCAUUCUUUUUGGUGAUGACUUUGUGAAGAGAAAUGCACUUUUCCAAACCUAAAAUCUUAGUGGUUUGGGAACAGUUAACGACAAAGCAUUUGCAUGACAAAAUAUCCAAAUGAAACAAAAUGAUGGCACACUCCUGAAAGACUUGCAAUACGAUACCUUUGCAAAAUCCUACAGUGAAAUAAAUAAUUAAAUAUUCAAAAACAAUUACUUUUUAAAAAAUCCAGAUGUCUAUAAAAUAUAUGUACAUUUAUGAUAAUAAAAAAUGUAUUUAUUUCUGUUAUAAGAACAAUAACAAUUUUGUAUCUAGUCAAGAUAUUCUCAUGUAAUCUUUGUCAAGAAGAGCAGAAUCAUAGAUUAGACCCCAACUGUUGCGUGUACGAUUCUUUGUGCAUUUAUAAAAUCCUAUAACAAGUCUAAAUAUAUUACUGUGUAUUAAUUUUUGGGUUGUAUAUAAUGUAUGUAAACCUUUAGCUGUAAAUAGUUCGGCUGCUGGAAUUUCUACUUGAGAGGGAAAUAAGGACAUACUAAAAUAAAUACAAUAAACAAGGACUUUUAUUUCUA